CGUUAUUUAUGUUAAUUUUAUUUUCACUAAUUUGGCUUAUAUAUAUCAUGGUAACGUUUUGUUGUACAACUUAUUUUUCUUCUUACAUAUUUAAUCAGUUCAUAUAAUCGCAUCAUAUAUCAACAUAUAUAUAAUAAGAAGGUAUUUAUUAUUUAUUUUCAUGUCAUAUGAACAAUGUAUUUAUAUUACGAAAAAUACAAGUACAUCAAUCAUAUCAUAUGCCCAACGACUUCCUCGAACAUUAACUAAAUCGUCCCAUGAAAAUAGCCUUCUCCAGAACCGACAAUCGAGCUUUGAUCUUCUCGAAGUUGUGAAGGUCUUAUUGGUUAGUAAUUUUUCUAUAAAAGAAAGAUUACCGGAAAGGAACUUAUUGUUGAGCAAGUAUAUAUAGUAUGAUGUUUUUUUUUUUUUUUUUUUUUUUUUUGUAUUUUUACAAAUUAAAGAUACAAUUUGAUUUUAUUGAUGAAAUGUGGUGGUGGUGGAGAUGUUUAUAAUGAUGGAAAUAGUGAUGACUCGUGACAUUUGUCGGAAUGCCAAUGGUCGCUCAUCUAAGGCGGUCAACCAAGGGGUGGUGGCGGUGGGGAAGAGCAAAAUAGAAACGGAAUAAUAUUAGGUAAUGGAGG
rnacentral:lncRNA from 1 species